rnacentral:misc_RNA from 1 species
UUUCCGUAGGUGAACCUGCGGAAGGAUCAUUAUUGAAUAAACAGUGUGGGUUGUUGCUGGCCUUCUGGCAUGUGCACGCCUGCCAUAUGUUUCAUUCCCUUCUUUCCACCUGUGCACUAUGUGUAGGCUAUGUAUGCUGUAUUGUCAGGCCCUUCAUAAGGCUUGGUUUAGAGAGGAUGCUUGUCUUUAUGAGACAGGCUCAUCUUGGGCGUACAGGUCUAUGUUUUACACCAACACCAAAUGAAUGUCUUAGAAUGUAUUUUUUCAGGCUCUUGCUAGCCUUUAAACCAUAUACAACUUUCAACAACGGAUCUCUUGGCUCUC